rfam:Brenneria sp. EniD312 chromosome, whole genome shotgun sequence.
CUUGGCUGGUGGCGCUCUUCCCUUAGGCGGGUGGAGUAAUCACGCAUAGCAAUUGUCAUUAUAUGCAGAUUUCCCAGGCCCGCUUACCCAGCGGGCUUUUUCAU